GAUGAACGCUGGCGGCGUGCCUAAUACAUGCAAGUCGAGCGAACAGACGAGGAGCUUGCUCCUCUGACGUUAGCGGCGGACGGGUGAGUAACACGUGGAUAACCUACCUAUAAGACUGGGAUAACUUCGGGAAACCGGAGCUAAUACCGGAUAAUAUAUUGAACCGCAUGGUUCAAUAGUGAAAGACGGUUUUGCUGUCACUUAUAGAUGGAUCCGCGCCGCAUUAGCUAGUUGGUAAGGUAACGGCUUACCAAGGCAACGAUGCGUAGCCGACCUGAGAGGAUGAUCAGCCACACUGGAACUGAGACACGGUCCAGACUCCUACGGGAGGCAGCAGUAGGGAAUCUUCCGCAAUGGGCGAAAGCCUGACGGAGCAACGCCGCGUGAGUGAUGAAGGUCUUCGGAUCGUAAAACUCUGUUAGUAGGGAAGAACAAAUGUGUAAGUAACUAUGCCCGUCUUGACGGUACCUAAUCAGAAAGCCACGGCUAACUACGUG
rnacentral:rRNA from 1 species